UUUUUUUCUUUUUUUUUUCUUGUUUAUUGAAGUGUUGUUGGUCCACAAUGUUACAUUAGUUUUAGGAGUACGACAUAAUAAUGUGAGAAGUCUGUAUGUUACGUUAUGCUCGCCACAAGUGGGGCUACCAUCUGUCAUCAUGCAAUGCUAUUGCACUACCACUGACUAUAUUCCCUACCCUGGACCUUUCAUCCCUGUGACUUACUCUGUAACUGGAAGCCUGUACCUCCCAUUCCCCUUUGCCCAUAUUGCCCAUCCCGCCAGAGAGAACUUGCAUCUGUGUGUCUCCAUUACCCAUGCAUUCUUUCAUGUUGCUACUUUUUCCAUACUUUUCCCAUUACAGCCCUUACUAUACCCAUCAUAAGUAUUUUAAAUUCCCUGUUGGAUAAUCCCAACACCUGUAUCCUAUCUGAGUUUGGCUUCUGAUGCUUACUGUGUGUCUCUUUAGAUGGUUUCGUUCUUGCUUUUUAUCAUGCUUUGUGGUCUUUUUCAUGAAGGCUGUACAUACAGGAACUGAGGUAAAUGGCCUUUAGUGUGAAGUUUUAUGUUAAUUGUUAAUCUAGUUAACAGUUGGACUUUACUUACUGCUUGAUUAGUCAUCGGUGCCAAAAACUUCAAAAAUUCUUCUUGGGUUCUUAUUGUUGUCUCCUUUCUUGACCUUGGACUUUUAAAAGUACUUUUCAGGGAGAGUCUGUUUCUCUCAGCUUUAGCAUAUGGUUAUUAUCCAGACUUUUGGGUGUGACCGUUAGGUAUGGAUGAGGGAGGGUGUUCUAUAAUCUCCUGAUUAAAUCUCAGUCUUUUCACUGGGGCCUGUGUAUCUGGCCUGUGACCUUCACAAGUGUUUCUUCUUGUAUAGCUUCCCACAUAGGUGAACAGGAAGGCUGGAGGGGGCUGGAAGGAGCGAACAGCUUUGCCCCUGGAGAGUAGGUCUUUGUUACAGAGAAGGCUCUGGGCAUACAUCACUGCGGUUUACUCUUCCUUUCCCGUUCUCUCCAGUCUUCACUGUGACAACCUGUGGGGGUUUCUCAAAGUAAAGCCCAUGAGGCAUGGAGCUCCCUAGGACUUCAGCCCCCAGGAGUGUCUCACUCUCAUACCAAUUCACACUCAGCCUCCAGUAAUUUCUCAAAAUGACCAUUAAAGCUUCCGAUGGCUCCAGUGUAUGGUUCUAGUGGCCUCUGCUCCAAAUGAACAGAUUUCAGCUGCAAGACUCCGGAUUUUCCUAUCUCUGCAAAUUUAAUUCUCUGAUAGGUCUCAGAAAAAUCAUUGAUUUCCAGUUUGUCCAGCUUUCUCUUGUGAGGAUAGGAAUUGCAACUCCCAAGCUCUUUAUAUCUGAAACUGGAAGGCCCUAAUCUAGUCUUUAUCAUUAUAAAUAUACUUGUUUGGGGCCUCAUUUAAUGCUUUUAGUGUUAUAUCUUACUUUAUCUG
rnacentral:lncRNA from 1 species